rnacentral:sRNA from 2 species
UACCUUUAGUCGCUGAAUCCUAAUAGGAACGGGGGAACCAACUGUGGUGCCUUUAGGUCCACAUGGGGUGAAUCUCCUUCAGAAUCUGCAUGGAAUCUGAAGGAGUAGGGUGACUCUCAGCACCCGAAUCCGUCAGCUAACUUCGUAAGCGUCGUGAGAGGAGGU